rnacentral:rRNA from 1 species
AAUACUUAGGAAUCUACCUAUUAAUGGGGGACAACAUUUCGAAAGGAAUGCUAAUACCGCAUACGCCCUACGGGGGAAAGCAGGGGAUCUUCGGACCUUGCGUUAAUAGAUGAGCCUAAGUCGGAUUAGCUAGUUGGUGGGGUAAAGGCCUACCAAGGCGACGAUCUGUAGCGGGUCUGAGAGGAUGAUCCGCCACACUGGGACUGAGACACGGCCCAGACUCCUACGGGAGGCAGCAGUGGGGAAUAUUGGACAAUGGGGGGAACCCUGAUCCAGCCAUGCCGCGUGUGUGAAGAAGGCCUUUUGGUUGUAAAGCACUUUAAGCGAGGAGGAGGCUACUCUAGUUAAUACCUAGAGCUAGUGGACGUUACUCGCAGAAUAAGCACCGGCUAACUCUGUGCCAGCAGCCGCGGUAAUACAGAGGGUGCGAGCGUUAAUCGGAUUUACUGGGCGUAAAGCGUGCGUAGGUGGCCUUUUAAGUCAAAUGUGAAAUCCCCGAGCUUAACUUGGGAAUUGCAUUCGAUACUGGAAGGCUAGAGUAUGGGAGAGGAUGGUAGAAUUCCAGGUGUAGCGGUGAAAUGCGUAGAGAUCUGGAGG